rnacentral:rRNA from 1 species
UGGGGAAUAUUGCACAAUGGGCGCAAGCCUGAUGCAGCCAUGCCGCGUGUGUGAAGAAGGCCUUCGGGUUGUAAAGCACUUUCAGCGGGGAGGAAGGCGUUAAGGUUAAUAACCUUGGCGAUUGACGUUACCCGCAGAAGAAGCACCGGCUAACUCCGUGCCAGCAGCCGCGGUAAUACGGAGGGUGCAAGCGUUAAUCGGAAUUACUGAGCGUAAAGCGCACGCAGGCGGUCUGUCAAGUCGGAUGUGAAAUCCCCGGGCUCAACCUGGGAACUGCAUUCGAAACUGGCAGGCUAGAGUCUUGUAGAGGGGGGUAGAAUUCCAGGUGUAGCGAUGAAAUGCGUAGAGAUCUGGAGGAAUACCGGUGGCGAAGGCGGCCCCCUAGACAAAGACUGACGCUCAGGUGCGAAAGCGUGGGGAGCAAGCAGG